rnacentral:rRNA from 1 species
AGUGAACGCUGGCGGCGUGCCUAAUACAUGCAAGUCGAACGGAGUGGCGCACGGGUGAGUAAUAUAUAGCUAAUCUGCCCCUUGCUGGAGGACAACAGUUAGAAAUGACUGCUAAUACUCCAUAGCAAGGGAUGAGACUAUAUCGUAUCAGCUAGUCGGUGGGGUAACGGCCUACCGAGGCUAUGACGCGUAACUGGUCUGAGAGGAUGAUCACACACAUGGGUACUGACCCAAGGUCCAAACUCCUACGGGAGGCCGCAGUCAGGAGUAUUGCGCAAUGGCGGCAAGCCUGACGCAGCAACGCCGCGUGGAGCAUGACAGUUUUCGGAGCGUCCAUUCCUUUUGUUAAGGAAGCGUCACCUACCGCAUAAGCACCGGCUCCAUACGUGCCAGCCGCCGCGGUAAUAC